rnacentral:rRNA from 1 species
CGGAUUGGAGUCUGCAACCCGACUCCAUGAAGCUGGAUUCGCUAGUAAUCGCGCAUCAGCCACGGCGCGGUGAAUACGUUCCCGGGCCUUGUACACACCGCCCGUCAAGCCAUGGAAGCCGGGAGUGCCUGAAGUACGCGACCGCAAGGAGCGUCCUAAGGUAAAACCGGUGACUGGGGCUAAGUCGUAACAAGGUAAC